UUUCAUUUUUAUUGACUAACCGGAAAGAGCUGAUAAUAAUAUUCCAGCACACUGUUAACCAUGAAAUCAAGUGGUAUUUGUUUCCAGAAGCUGGUAAAAUUGUGGCCUGGUUUUAGGUUCCAUUAGCAAAGGUAAAACAAUCUCUGACCUGGAGGCCAGCUUUGCAUACAUCUUUUAGAUCUCUAGCACAUCUGCUGAUGUUUUUUCCAUUUGCAGUGGUGGAGAGGGCUUUUAGUCGGUAAAAUCACUCUCAGGCACAGAAGUUGCACAAAGCCUGUGCAGCAUGUUGGAUGCAGGCCCAAGAAAAAGGAAUAAAUUCUUUCUUGUUUAUUACUGGCUUAUUUUGAUAAGUAUUCUCAUUUCCUUAUAAGCUUACACCUUUAAACCAGGUCCUUGCUGAGAUGGAAUAUGAUACGUCCAACAGCUGUUGCAAAAAGCAAUGGAGUGCUGCUGGUAAGAAGGAAAUAACAUCUUCACAAGAAACACAGGUCAAGGAGGCUGAUGAAGGAGGCGUCAAACUCAGAAAACAGCAGAAAGCUCCUGAAGUGUGUACAUCAGAGCACAGCAAGACUGAAAGGAGCUGAUGCCUGGAAUGAAAGAAGAGAAGAGUAGGAGAAUUUAGCCAAAGGGACAAGCAAGAAGCUAGAGAUGGGAUAAGGGAGAUGCUCCACUGAUCCAUAUAGUUUUCUUACACAGUGUCUGCUUUGGAAAUGGUGAAGGAAUUAAUGUCGAAGGAAAUACUCUGCUCAGCAAAGCUCCAGGAGCACCAGCUAAGGACCUGGCUUAUUGUGAACUUCCCUUGAUUCUAAAAAUCAUCAGACAUAUGGACACUUUUGCAGACAAAUGAAGUGGAGAAGCAAACUCUGAGUGCUUUUCAGUCCAGGCACCUUGGAGGAGGAAUAUCUGGCACCAAAUUCCUAUAGAUCAGAGGGUUUUUACUGAGACUGGACUAUUUUGUGGAAGACGGGAUUUUUUACAGUGUUUAGUGAUUCUAAGGACACAAAGAACUUGAAAGACUACCUGCUUAUCAUGUCUUCUAUUCUUGGGAAGAUGAAGAAAUUUGGCAGUUCUGACAUGGAGGAAUCUGAAGUGACAGAUGAACACACGGAUGGGGAGGAUUCCACGCUGGAAACGCCUGACAGCCUCCAGGGUACACCCAGCAACAAGGUGCAGCCACCCAAAAGCAACAUCUUUGCAAGACGUGGGCGGUUUGUGAUGGGGGAUAGUGACAAGGACAUGGCUCCCAUGGACUCCUUUUACCAGAUGGAUCACCUGAUGGCACCUUCUGUCAUCAAAUUUCAUGCCAAUUUGGAGAGGGGGAAACUUCACAAGCUCCUAUCUACAGAUUCCAUCACAGGCUGUUCAGAAAAAGCUUUCAAAUUUUAUGACCGCAGAAGGAUCUUUGAUGCUGUAGCCCAAGGCAACACAAGGGACCUGGAUGAUCUGCUACUCUAUCUUAACAGAACCUUGAAGCAUCUCACAGAUGAUGAGUUCAAAGAGCCAGAAACUGGGAAAACCUGCUUACUGAAAGCCAUGCUGAAUCUACAUGAUGGGAAAAAUGAUACCAUUCCCUUGCUGCUGGAUAUUGCAAGGAAAACGGGAACUCUGAAAGAGUUUGUUAAUGCAGAGUAUACCGACAACUACUACAAGGGCCAGACUGCACUUCACAUCGCCAUUGAAAGAAGGAACAUGUACCUGGUGAAGCUCUUGGUCCAGAAUGGAGCAGAUGUUCAUGCAAGAGCCUGUGGGGAGUUCUUCAGGAAAAUCAAAGGGAAACCUGGCUUUUAUUUUGGUAGGGGGGAGCUGCCUUUGUCCCUGGCUGCCUGCACCAACCAGCUCUGCAUUGUGAAAUUCCUCCUUGAGAACCCCUACCAGCCAGCCAACAUCACUGCUGAGGACUCCAUGGGCAAUACGGUCCUGCAUACACUGGUGGAGAUUGCAGACAAUACUAAGGAUAAUACCAAGUUUGUUACCAAGAUGUACAAUAACAUAUUGAUCCUUGGUGCCAAAAUUAAUCCAAUCCUGAAGCUAGAAGAACUCACCAACAAGAAAGGGCUGACUCCAUUAACUCUGGCAGCCAAAACAGGGAAGAUAGGGAUUUUCGCUUACAUCCUCAGACGAGAGAUCAAAGAUCCUGAGUGCAGACACUUGUCUAGGAAGUUCACUGAAUGGGCUUAUGGACCUGUCCACUCAUCUCUUUAUGAUCUGUCCUGUAUAGACACAUGUGAGAAAAAUUCAGUGCUUGAGAUUAUUGCCUACAGUAGUGAAACACCAAACCGUCAUGAAAUGCUGCUGGUGGAACCCCUUAACAGGCUGCUGCAAGACAAGUGGGACCGGUUUGUCAAACACUUGUUUUACUUCAACUUCUUUGUCUAUACCAUGCAUAUCAUCAUCCUCACUGCAGCUGCUUACUACAGACCUGUAGAGAAGGAGGAAAAGCCUCCCUUCACAUUUGGUCACAGCACUGGGGAAUAUUUUCGAGUGACUGGAGAGAUCCUGAGUGUACUGGGAGGUCUCUAUUUUUUUUUCAGAGGGAUACAGUAUUUCGUGCAGAGGCGCCCAUCGUUCAAGACGCUGAUAGUUGACAGCUACAGUGAGGUUCUUUUCUUUGUUCACUCCUUGCUCCUCCUGAGCUCUGUGGUGCUGUACUUCUGCGGCCAGGAACUGUACGUGGCUUCCAUGGUCUUCUCCUUGGCGCUGGGCUGGGCUAACAUGCUGUACUACACCCGUGGCUUCCAGCAGAUGGGCAUUUACUCUGUCAUGAUUGCCAAGAUGAUCCUUAGAGAUUUAUGUCGCUUCAUGUUUGUCUAUCUAGUAUUCCUCUUGGGAUUUUCUACAGCUGUGGUGACUUUAAUUGAAGAUGACAAUGAGGGGCAAGACACAAAUAGCUCAGAAUAUUCCCGAUGCUGCCAUAUGAAACGAGGCCGCACGUCCUACAAUAGUCUGUAUUAUACCUGCUUGGAGCUUUUCAAGUUCACUAUUGGGAUGGGGGACCUGGAGUUCACAGAGAACUACAGGUUCAAGUCUGUGUUCGUCAUCCUUUUGGUUCUCUAUGUCAUCCUUACAUACAUCCUCCUGCUCAACAUGCUUAUUGCACUGAUGGGGGAAACUGUGAGCAAAAUUGCGCAGGAGAGCAAGAGCAUCUGGAAACUCCAGGUACAUUGGUUCUGUGAGGCCGCUACCCAAGAAAGGGUGUGGGGAAUCAUAAGAAAUUUCGGAGAGAAUCUUUAGGAACUGACAUGUUUCUAAAUAACAGGUCACUGCUUCUUUCUGAUUCCCCUGAACAGUUCCUAAAAAAAGUAUAUUAGUUCCUUUUCUUUGCAUAUUUGAUGUUUUGCCUGAGCAGAUGUUCCCAGUGUUCCACAGAUGUUCAGAAUUUAAGAAAAUAAGUACUUUUCUAAUUAGACAGAAUUAUUUGGGCUUUUGAUGAUGGAAAAUCCUGAUCAGACUAUGAAGACAGGGAUUAUGGAAAGGGGAAAACAAUCUUUACCAGAAUCUCAAAGGCACGUCAGUUUUUGUUUGAGGUAAGAAGAGGAACUUCAUAGUUCUAAUCACAGGGCAGUAAUUUGGCAUUUUUAAUGACAUAUUAACAGAGGGCGAUGUUUCAGAGAUGGUUAUGAUGCCUGCUCUAAGAUGGUGACAAUGAAAGCUCAAGGUUUUUAAAACAAAGGGAGAAUCUGGGGUCUGUGUGACUUUGAAACAGCAGCCUCUCAGUGGCCUGCUUUCUUUUACCUAAUAGAGAGCCAUCACAACCUUGGAUAUUGAAAACAGCUACUUGAACUGUGUGAGGCGCUCCUUCCGGUCUGGGAAGCGAGUCUUGGUGGGGAUCACACCUGACGGCCAAGAUGAUUACAGAUGGUGCUUUAGGGUUGAUGAAGUGAACUGG